CAAAGCGGAGGAAAAGAAACCAACAGGGAUUGCCUUAGUAGCGGCGAGUGAAGCGGCAAAAGCUCAAAUUUGAAAUCUGGCUCUUUCAGAGUCCGAGUUGUAAUUUGAAGAAGGUAUCUUUGGGUCUGGCUCUUGUCUAUGUUUCUUGGAACAGAACGUCACAGAGGGUGAGAAUCCCGUGCGAUGAGAUGAUCCAGGCCUAUGUAAAGUUCCUUCGAAGAGUCGAGUUGUUUGGGAAUGCAGCUCUAAGUGGGUGGUAAAUUCCAUCUAAAGCUAAAUAUUGGCGAGAGACCGAUAGCGAACAAGUACAGUGAUGGAAAGAUGAAAAGAACUUUGAAAAGAGAGUGAAAAAGUACGUGAAAUUGUUGAAAGGGAAGGGCUUGAGAUCAGACUUGGUAUUUUGUAUGUUACUUCUUCGGGGGUGGCCUCUACAGUUUAUCGGGCCAGCAUCAGUUUGGGCGGUAGGAGAAUUGCGUUGGAAUGUGGCACGGCUUCGGUUGUGUGUUAUAGCCUUCGUCGAUACUGCCAGCCUAGACUGAGGACUGCGGUUUAUACCUAGGAUGUUGGCAUAAUGAUCUUAAGUCGCCCGUCUUG
rnacentral:rRNA from 1 species